CUUAGCAGUUAGCAUUAUGCAUCAAAGAAUUGCGCUGCUCAAAAUUCUUCUAGCAAUCGAGCAACGACGCCCACCACCUCGUUUAGAAAUGUCAAGUAGGAGUAGAAGAUCGCCAUCGCUUGUAGCCGUGCUCAACUGGUUAUCUAGGCCAAGUUCUUUCGCUACAGAAAGAGGAAGAGACCGCACCAAUCACCGUCGUCAUAUUAGCUUACUCGAAGAAAGACCCCCCAUGGCGAUAUCAGGGAGAGACCUUCACUGCUCCUGCGUCGGAAGACUUGAAGUCGUCAGGCCCAAACCCGUCGGUUUCCUCUGUGGUUCUACCCCAGUUCCCACUGACAACUCCUUCCAUUCUUUCAAUUCCUCCUCUCUCGUCCCCUCGCGCCAGUCACUGACUGCUCCACGCUAUCGGAUGCUUCCGACGGAGACGGAUCCCAAUACGCCUCCGCUUCUCUCGAAGUUUCCAGACAAGGUUCUUCCUAUUGCCGGUGUGCAGCCCAAGGCCACUGGAGGCCUGAUGUUGAAGAGAGAGAGAGAAGUUUAUUAGAAGACACAAGAAUCAGUAAAAAUCUGUAGAUUCUUUAUUUUUGAACUUUGCCGUGCACUCGAUUAGAAUGGAGGCUUGUGAUUGUCGUCCAACUCAUCAUGUCUCAUCACAGGAGCAGUCAAAACUCUUCUGUUCUUCCUGGAGGAAAUAGAACUCAGUUUGUGGGGAAGUGUGAUAGUGUUGUUCCAAGUAUCCUCAAGUCAAACAGGAUAGCCUCUUUUGGGGAAGUAAGAAGAAUAAGAGAAGUAAAGGGUGGGAUGCUGUAAAAAAGGCUUCACAAGUGGGUGAGAAGCCUAGGUGCUCAAUGCAGGAGUCUUAAAAACAUAUAAGAAUUGGUAAUGAUGGGUUUCUUAGGGUCUUGUUUUGGCAGUUUCACAAUUUCCAUAUGCUUUUGGGCAGUGACUUACUUCUGUUCAGUAAUGAAACAUAUGAUGCUGCAAGCUUGUAUUUAUGGGACAUUACAUGAGAGGUCACACCAUUUGCAUUUGCUUCUGUACGUGCAUUUGCUCAUGAACAAUUUGCAAGGCUCAUUUUAAAUUAUGACAAAGAACUGGGUUUAACAUCAGAAACUCUUCCUGUAGAAUAUGAAGUUACAAUUAUUAAUGCUGAGGAAGAAUCCUCAGACUUUGUAAGCGGCAAUUCUGAAUUAGUGGGGCAUGUCUCCUCAUUAAUUGCAGAGGAUGAACCAUACGAGGAUGGACAAAAGGUUUUCAAAAUUUAGUAUCAGAGGCUUCUGUCAAGAUGAAUUUGGAGGCAAAAUUUUCUGAUUGGAGCUGGUAACACGGAAUUAACAGAUCCAGGAGCAGCUGAACCAAGUUCCAUUAGAGAUUAAAUUUUUCCACUGUGCAAGGCAUCUCCAACAAUAGUUCAAACUGUUGCUGAUCCCAUUUCCUCUAAGUUAGCUGCAGUAAAUCAUGUUUCUUAGGCUAUCAAGUCUCUCAGAUGGAUGCACCGACUGCAGAGCACUAAAUUUGAGCUGGUGGAUGAAGGCAGUGGAACUGAUGAGACGCUGCCUUCAUCUAUUAGUUUUUCUGUUUGUGCAUGUGGUGAUGCAGACUGUAUUGAAGUUUGUGACAUUCGGGAAUGGCUUCCAACAUCGAAGUUGGACCAUAAGUUGUGGAAAGUUGUUCUUUUGCAUGGAGGAUCAUAUUUGGCACUUGGUCAAGCUUAAAAGGAGGAUGGUCAGUUGCAUCAGGCAUUGAAGGUUAUAGAGUUGGCAUGUUCUAUUUACGGAUCAAUGCCUCAGCAUCUUGAAGACACAAGGUUCAUUUCUUCAAUGAUCAGUUGCUCAUCAUUGCAGAAGAAAUUCAAUGAAAGAAAUGAAAAAACAAGAUCAUACAAUAAUGAUGUGGAAGAUGAGAAAUCCAGCUCUACAGAUGCUUCUCUUAUUUUGACCAGUACUCUUCCACUUACCUCCUUUUGCCAGGGUGUGGACUCUAGUUGGAGACGUUUAUGUUGAGUUCCAUAUGAUAUAUGGUAAAGAGAUAUCAAUAUAAGCAGAACCAAAAUCCAAUAUUAGAGGGUUGUGAAUAUUUUCUGAGGUGGUGAAGGAAGUUAAAAGGCUCAAGAAGCAGCCGGGGCAGAAUAACCAGAAUUGUAUCUCGUGUUCAUUGUUAAAUUACAGCUGCCAGAGUGACAGGGCAAGCAGUGGGAGCAGCGCAAGCAGUAGCGAUGCAGAUAGGCUCUCAGUAGGUUAUGGCAGAAAACACAAAAAAAAAUCAUAUGUGAAAAGAGCGCAUCCUGCUCACUUUGGGGAGACCUCGAAGAGGACCAUUUUCGUCACCAAAUGGACAGUGUGUCAAUGGUAAGAGUUUUGAUGGUGGACAUCUACAGCACGAUAAAGGUGAUGAAAGCCUCAAAAAGGCUGCUUGUACUGAUAAUUUUGGUUUAAAACCUUUGGGAAAUAAUACUAAAAAAGUGGAGGGUUUUCUACCCUAAGUGAAAAAUGGUGGGAUAUUUAAGUACCUCGGGGAUCCAGUUGUGAGAGAUGCAGAGGAUAAUCUUUUAGCUGCCCUAAGUUGUUAUGAAGAAGCUAAACAGGCAUUGGGUGGACUUCCCUCAGGUUCAGCAGAACUCCAAUUUGUUGUCAAGAAGAAGGGGUGGGUCUGCAAUGAACUGGGUCGUAACAGGCCUGAAAGUAGAGAAUUGAACAAAGCUGAAGUUGCUUUUGCAGAUGCUAUAAAUGCAUUCCGGGAAAUCUCUGAUCACACCAACAUAAGAUUUAUUCAUUUGAAUUUGGGCCAUGGCAGCCGUGCAUUGGCUGAAGAGGUGGUAUCAAAGAUUGAGGAUCUCAAAAUGCAUGCAAUCUUACAUGGUGCAUACGACCAAGCAUUGGAGACUGCAAAAUGAGAAUAUAGUGAAUCACUUUGAUAUUAUGGAGCAGCAAAGUCGAAAUUGAAUCUUAUUGCCUAUGAGAACUGUUACGGACACAAAAAGAUUACACAAAAGUAAAUUCACAAACUGACAUGACUUCAUAUGAUCCGUUAGAUCUACUUUACACUAAAAGUAACUUUACAAUCUGAUAUACUGCAUCAAGGUACCUCAGUUUGUGGAUUCAUUUUUGUAUAAUCCUUUUGUGGCUAAUGUAUUUCUUUUUUGCAUAUUAAGUAAAAAGUCCAUACGGUUGUUUAGAUAA